CCUACGGGGGACAGCAGUCGAGAAUCAUUCACAAUGGGGGAAACCCUGAUGGUGCGACGCCGCGUGGGGGAAUGAAGGUCUUCGGAUUGUAAACCCCUGUCAUGUGGGAGCAAAUUAAAAAGAUAGUACCACAAGAGGAAGAGACGGCUAACUCUGUGCCAGCAGCCGCGGUAAUACAGAGGUCUCAAGCGUUGUUCGGAAUCACUGGGCGUAAAGCGUGCGUAGGCUGUUUCGUAAGUCGUGUGUGAAAGGCGAGGGCUCAACCCGCGGACGGCACAUGAUACUGCGAGACUAGAGUAAUGGAGGGGGAACCGGAAUUCUCGGUGUAGCAGUGAAAUGCGUAGAUAUCGAGAGGAACACUCGUGGCGAAGGCGAGUUCCUGGACAUUAACUGACGCUGAGGCACGAAGGCCAGGGGAGCGAAAGGGAUUAGAUACCCCAGUAGUC
rnacentral:rRNA from 1 species